rnacentral:lncRNA from 1 species
UGUUUAAAUAUUUGCUUAAAAUGGAAGAAAUUCCACAAAAUAUAAGAGAAAAGGCCAUAAAAGCGAUCGAAAAGCUUUUGCCAGGUAAAUCAAGACAACAGUAUGAUCGGGAGUAUGGCAUAUUUGGUAUUUGGAAAGAUGCCAACGCAAUUGUUCAAAUAACUGAAACCGUUCUAAUGGCAUAUUUUCAGGAACUGGUACAGAGUCUAGCUCAAGUGAGUCUGACUCUAGUUCUAGCUCGUCUGGAGCUCAUAUGAGUGAGGACGAGAAUCAGGGGGAGGCACAACGAAAUAUAAAGGAUCAGAUAGAACGAAAUAUAGAAGUAGAUAAAAAUCUGAUUGAGAUAUUGGGUAACGAUCCUUUGGCUAUAACAACGGUCGGGCCAGAAAUACACACAGAAAUAGCUAGUAGAUGGACUAUAUUUAGUCGAAAUGGGUUAGAUAAAGACGACAGGAAGAGCCUCAUUGAAAAGUACCCCAGACCAAGCAACGUCGAAGGUCUUUCACCACCUAAACUUAAUAGGGAAAAGCGGGCUUUUAAGAGACACUCAGAUUAAACAAGAUAAUUUCCUACUACACUUAUAAGAACAAAUAGCGGCCGCAAUAUCAGCUAUAGCAAUUCCUAUGGAGACAUACGUUACCAAUCCUACUGAGGAAAUCACUGAAAAUUUGCAGGUUCUGGCUAAUGCCUCCAAACUUUUAACGGAUGUCAUACAUUCGUUGUCAACACACAGACGAUAUGGAUUGUCAUAUAGCAUCGACAAUUCUAUUAGAAAAGUUAUCAUGGACAGACCUAUUGAUGCUUUUCUCUUUGGAGAAGAUAUGAGCAACCAUAUCAAGUCGGCCCAGGAAGUGAAGAAAGUGUGCAAUGAAAUAAAAAUGAAAUAUACCCCACGUUCUUCUGGAAUCCCAAGUUCGUCAAGUAGAAGCCAUCCUGUACCAGGACCCUCCAAUAAAUAUGGUACCAAUCCAGAUUUUUUUGCCAAGCGGUACAAGUUCAACAACCGAAAGAAGACGGAGGGAGGCAGGAAAGUCCAGAAACCAGAAAAGAGCAGGAGAAGACCGGACUACCGGAGGAACUAGAGGAAACCUCAUCCUAUGCACAAAAGCCUUAUCCUGGUGGCAGGGAAAUUAUCAGGACAUCUUUUUUAAAGAGACUGUUCCCUGAGGUCGGUGUAGACGCUAUUAUGUGUUCAAUAAACGAAAGCACUCACCGUCAAUAUGAUUCUGUAUUUAAAAAGUGGUGGAGUUACUGUGGCAAGAAAAAACUGGACCCAUUCACAUACAACCUCCAAGAAAUUAUUUCAUUUUUAUCAGAAAUAUUUAAAACAGGUGUUUCCUAUUCUAAUAUUAAUAUCCAUAAAUCAGCUCUUACCAUGAUUCUUGACUUUAAGGAGGAAGACAAAAAUAUGACAAAAAGGUUUUUAAAGGGGCUAUAUAAUAUUAAACCUCCACAACCUAAAUAUAAUUAUACAUGGGAUCCACACCCAGUUUAAAUGAAAGUAGCAAAAUUGUAUCUUUGUGAAAAUAUUACCUUGAAAGAUUUAACACUUAAAAUGGUUGUACUAUUAUCACUGAUCUCAGGACAACGGUUACAAACUUUAUCAAAAAUCAAUAUUAAACUGAUAAAAGAAACCAACGAAAACUUACAAAUUUUUAUUGCAGAAAAAAUAAAAACAUCAGGAAAAAACAGACUUCAGCCCGUAUUGAUUCUACCAUUUUUUACAGAAAAGCCAGAGCUUUGUCUAGCUUCUACGAUUAUUGAAUAUAUUAAAAAGACAAAGGAUUUACGCCCACCAGAAGAGCAUAAAUUAAUGUUAACCAUUAAAAAACCCAUUCACGCUGUUUCCAGCCAGACAAUAAGUCACUGGAUUAAAAAUUUCUUGGAGAGUUGUGGGGUAGAUACCAACAUUUUUUCUGCUUAUUCCUCCAGACACACAUCUACCUCAACAGCCCUUAAAGGUGGUGCUAACAUUGAGUCAAUAAGGAAAGCGGCAGGGUGGACAGAAAAAUCAAAGGUUUUUUCCAAAUUCUAUAAUAAACCCAUACUACCAAACGAUUCUGAUUUUCCAACGAGUUUCUUGAAAGGGUCAGGUAUUAAAUAAUCCUUUUACACUAAAAAUAUAAUUAGUAUUUAGUAUUAGUAAUUAUUGUAAGUUAAACUAUACGGUACGAUUAAUAAUUAUCAUUAUUAUACUCGUACGUUAUAAUAGUAUUAUUUUUCUGAUAGUUUACUCGAUAUACUUAAUUAUUCGUAGUUGUAGUUGUAUGUAUAAGUCUGUAUGACAUUUAUGCUUUAUUAUUAUUUUAGUUUACGUAUGCAUAACUGUUAUCGUAUAAUUAUAUUAGUAAAUUUAUAUUGCACACAAAAUUUAAUUUAAAUGUCAUAUCAUUUUGGUUAUUAUUUUGUUCUAUGAAUAAACGCAUAAUGCAUAUUAUUUAAAUUAACCCAUACAUAUUUUUUUUUCUC